GACGAACGCUGGCGGCGUGCUUAACACAUGCAAGUCGAGCGGAGCGGCGAACGGGUGAGUAACGCGUGAGUAAGUGCCCCCCUCUCUGGGAUAACAGCUGGAAACGGCUGCUAAUACCGGAUAGUGGGGGAUGACUCGCGUCUUAUCAGCUUGUUGGUGGGGUAGUGACCUACGAAGGCGACGACGGGUGGCCGGCCUGAGAGGGCGACCGGCCGCAUUGGGCGGAGAGACGGCCCGAACUGCUACUGGCGGCAGCAGGGAGGAAUGAUGCACAGGCAGGGAAACCCUGCUGCAGCGACGCCGCGUGCGGGAUGGCGGACGUCGUGUUGUAACCCGCUUUCUGCCAUGACGCGGUAGUGGCAGAAGAAGCACCGGCUAACUACGUGCCAGCAGCCGCGGUAAUAC
rnacentral:rRNA from 1 species